rnacentral:rRNA from 1 species
GACGAACGCUGGCGGCGUGCUUAACACAUGCAAGUCGAACGGAAAGGCCCCUUUUUGGGUACUCGCUUGGCGGACGGGCGAGUAACACGUGCGUGACCAGCCCUUCCCUUCCGUAUAACUUCAGUCAACUGGGGCUAAUACCGGCUGGGAAUCCUUUCUGCAUGGUGGGGGUUGGUAGGAUUCUGCGGGUUUGGGUGGACUUACGGCUUAUUAGCUUGUUUGUGGGGUAGUGGCUUACCAAGGAUUUGACGGGUAGGCGGCCUGGGAGGGCGACCGGCCACAUUGGGGCUGAGGAACGGCCCAGGCUCCUACGGGGGGCAGGAGUGGGGAAUAUUGCACAAUGGGCGGAAGCCUGAUGGAGGAACGCCGCGGGCGGGAUGACGGCCUUCGGGUUGUAAACCGCUUUCAGCAGGGGAGAAGCUUGUGGUGACGGUACCUGCAGAAGAAGCACCGGCUAACUACGUG